rnacentral:tRNA from 1 species
GGUGAUGUAGCUUAGUUGGUUAGAGCGCAUGUUUCUACAUGAGGUCGGCGGUUCGAAUCCGUUCAUCACUUCAA